rnacentral:SRP_RNA from 2 species
CUGUACUAGUUGGGGAGCCAGCGGUGCCCUGUAACCUGCAAUCCGCUACAGCAGGGACGAAUUCCCGGCCGAGGAAGUUUCCUGUGUCGUCUGACCCCGGUAAGCAGUGAUGACGAUCCGGUCUUGCGCAACGGAAACCCGUGAACCAUGUCAGGCGGGGAACCGAGCAGCAUUAAGCGGUGCUUUUCGUGUGCCGCAGGGUAGCCGGAUCCGAGCCGGCUGCCGGCGUAACGGACAUAGGAGAUUUUUCGGAGCCGGGUGUACAG